rnacentral:rRNA from 1 species
UACAGGGGGUGCAAACGUUGCUCGGAAUCAUUGGGCGUAAAGCGCACGUAGGCGGUCUGUUAUGUCGGAUGUGAAAGCCCUUGGCUUAACUGAGGAAGUGCAUCCGAAACUGGCAGGCUAGAGUACUAAAGAGGGUCGCGGAAUUCCCGGUGUAGAGGUGAAAUUCGUAGAUAUUCGCAAGAACACCAGUGGCGAAGGCGGCUCACUGGCCCGGUACUGACGCUGAGGUGCGAAAGCGUGGGGAGCAAACAGG